UUCCUUCCUUCCCUGCCCAUCUUCCUUUCUCUAGUCCCUACCCCAUACCCCUGUCUCUCUUCUCUCUCUCUCUCUCUUCCUUCCCUUCCUGUCAGUGCUACGCUCCCGGAACCUAACAGGGAACAGCAGGUUCUGGCCAAUCCCAAAUGCCAGGAGGUGGAACACAGAAUCUGGAGACACUUUGCAAGCCUGACCUAGAAUGAGAGACGCUGUCACCCCCAUACACCUCCCCAGGAGCAGGACUGGUCCUCUGUGCCCCGUGUCCAUCUGCCACAGGGGCUGACACCUAACACGUAUCACUCGGUAGAGGAAAUAGACAACCGAGAAUAAGUCCACUGAGUGUAGCUACGGAUGAAAACGCUUCUUUAUUUUUGUAACUGUUUCUGUCACUGCAGUCACAGCCUGUUCUCGACGGGCCUGCCCACUGGAGCUGGGGAAAGCCGGCUGCCUGCCCAAUCCUCGGUGACGACUGUGGGGACAGUGAUGGCGAAGGGGGUGUGCGGUGGCCAGUAAGGCAUCAUUAACAUGGUGGAGGUGAUUAGGGUAGCAUUUCUGACGUGGAGGCAGUGGUGGGGGUGAGAGUAAGUAUGGCGGUGAUAGUGGAGUUGAUAAUGACAGACGAGGUGCUGGUGGUGGUGACACUGACCCUGGACGUGUAACAAUGGACGGGAUGGACGGUCAUUGGGUACCAUUGAUAGUGACAGUGGAGGUGUGAUGGGGAGGUGAUGGAAAGGUUACUAUUGGGGAGGGUGGUCAUGGCAGCCACGGUCCUGGAGGUGGUGACGUUGGUGACGGUGAUGGUGACGAAGGCAACGGAGUAGAGGAAGUUGCGUGUUGUACAGCUUUGCUUUGGUAACAACCCCCACAUCCCAGAGCCUUAUGACAGCCAUUUAGGCCUUGCCCACUUCCGUCAGCUGCUGGGCUUCCAACUCGUAUGUCUUCUCAUCUGGGAUUCCGGAUGAGGAAGGGCUCCGGUCUGGAACGUGGCGUUCUCGUGGCAGAGAGGGUGGGAGAAAGAGCCGGGCAAAAGGCAGAGUGCCUCUGGAAACUUCUCCCGGGAUGGGAUGUACGUCACCCUGGCUCAUGCCAUGAGGCCAAGGCCAGCAUCAGCGAGGUGGGGAAUGGCACUCCUUCAGGAAGGGUCCGCACGUCUCAGGCUACAGGUGGGGAGGCACAAUCCUCUUAGGGAGUGGGUGAUCCUGCAGCAUGCGGGGGGUGGGGGGUGGCCCCGGUGCUGCCGGCGAUGGCAAUGCUCUGGUGACCGAAGCGCUGCUCAACACGACAGGACCUGUGACAGCAAUGGAGGGCUUGCUGACAACAGUCACAAUGUGCUCUAGCUACGGUGUUGAUGCUGAUGGUGAUGAAGCAGCAGGUGUGGUGUUCUGGAGUUUCUGUGGCUAACUCAGUGUUGCCGCCUCCCUCCUCCGUGGUCCCCUCGGCGUCCUAGAGAAUUCGGAAAGAUUUUCCAGAAUCCCCUUCCCCAUGUGGUUCCAGGGUGGAGUCUGCCAAUGCAUGAGCGACGGAAAGCGGAGGAGAGAGAGGCCGUUGUGGGCCGAUGGCAACUGGAGGGCCCCUGGUUCUCUAACUGCAUUACCUUCAGGAUGGAUGGGUGACAGCGAUGGAUGGGCCACUGGAUGGACAGUGACAGAGCACAAGCAGAAGAGGAGCAGAGAGAGAGAGAAGAAGACA